rnacentral:rRNA from 1 species
CAAUGUUGAAAGACGGUUUCGGCUGUCACUUAUAGAUGGACCCGCGCCGUUUUAGCUAGUUGGUAAGGUAACGGCUUACCAAGGCAACGAUACGUAGCCGACCUGAGAGGGUGAUCGGCCACACUGGAACUGAGACACGGUCCAGACUCCUACGGGAGGCAGCAGUAGGGAAUCUUCCGCAAUGGGCGAAAGCCUGACGGAGCAACGCCGCGUGAGUGAUGAAGGUCUUAGGAUCGUAAAACUCUGUUGUUAGGGAAGAACAAAUUUGUUAGUAACUGAACAAGUCUUGACGGUACCUAACCAGAAAGCCACGGCUAACUACGUGCCAGCAGCCGCGGUAAUACGUAGGUGGCAAGCGUUAUCCGGAAUUAUUGGGCGUAAAGCGCGCGUAGGCGGUUUCUUAAGUCUGAUGUGAAAGCCCACGGCUCAACCGUGGAGGGUCAUUGGAAACUGGGGAACUUGAGUGCAGAAGAGGAGAGUGGAAUUCCAUGUGUAGCGGUGAAAUGCGCAGAGAUAUGGAGAAACCCCCGGGGGGGAAGGGGGGCUCUCUGGUCUGAAACUGACGCUGAUGUGGGAAAGCGUGGGGAUCAAACAGGAUUAGAUACCCUGGUAGUCCACGCCGUAAACGAUGAGUGCUAAGUGUUAGGGGGUUUCCGCCCUUUAGUGCUGCAGCUAACGCAUUAAGCACUCCGCCUGGGGAGUACGACCGCAAGGUUGAAACUCAAAGGAAUUGACGGGGACCCGCACAAGCGGUGGAGCAUGUGGUUUAAUUCGAAGCAACGCGAAGAACCUUACCAAAUCUUGACAUCCUUUGACCGCUCUAGAGAUAGAGUUUUCCCCUUCGGGGGACAAAGUGACAGGUGGUGCAUGGUUGUCGUCAGCUCGUGUCGUGAGAUGUUGGGUUAAGUCCCGCAACGAGCGCAACCCUUAAGCUUAGUUGCCAUCAUUAAGUUGGGCACUCUAGGUUGACUGCCGGUGACAAACCGGAGGAAGGUGGGGAUGACGUCAAAUCAUCAUGCCCCUUAUGAUUUGGGCUGCACACGUGCUACAAUGGAUAAUACAAAGGGCAGCGAACCCGCGAGGUCAAGCAAAUCCCAUAAAAUUAUUCUCAGUUCGGAUUGUAGUCUGCAACUCGACUACAUGAAGCUGGAAUCGCUAGUAAUCGUAGAUCAGCAUGCUACGGUGAAUACGUUCCCGGGUCUUGUACACACCGCCCGUCACACCACGAGAGUUUGUAACACCCGAAGCCGGUGGAGUAACCUUUUAUUAGGAGCUAGCCGUCGAAGGUGGGACAGAUGAUUGG